rnacentral:rRNA from 1 species
GGAGUACGGCCGCAAGGCUAAAAAUCAAAGGAAUUGACGGGGGCCCGCACAAGCGGCGGAGCAUGAGGCUUAAUCAGAUGUGACGCGAAGAACCUUACGUGGGCUUGACAUGUAGAGAAAAGCCGUAGAGAUACGGUGUCAUUGGGGGCUUUACACAGGUGGUGCAUGGCAGUUGUCAGCUUCUGUAGUGAGAUGUUGGGUUAAGUCCCGCUAUGAGCGCAACCCUUGUCGUAUGUUGCCAGCGGUUCGCCCGGGGAAUGAUAGGAGACUGCCGGGGUCAACUCGGAUGAAGGUGGGGAUGAAGUCAAGUCAUCAUGCCCCUUAUGUUCAGGGCUGCACACAUUCUUCAAUGGCCGGUACAAAGGGCUGAUAUUCAGGGAGGAUGAGCGAAUCCCAGAAAUCAGGUGUCAGUUGGGAUCGAAGUUUGCAACUAGACUUCGAGAAGUAGGAGUUGUUAGUAAUCCAGAAUCAGCUACGUCGGGGAGAAUACGUUCCCGGGCAUAGUACACACCGCCCGUCACACCAUGAAAGUUGGUAACACCAGAAGCCAGUGGCCCAACCGCAAGGAGGGAGCUGUUGAAGGUGGGAUCAAGCGAUUGGGGUGAAGUCGUAACAAGGUAUC